rnacentral:rRNA from 1 species
UACGUAGGGUCCAAGCGUUAAUCGGAAUUACUGGGCGUAAAGCGUGCGCAGGCGGUUUUGUAAGUCUGUCGUGAAAUCCCCGGGCUCAACCUGGGAAUUGCGAUGGAGACUGCAAGGCUAGAAUCUGGCAGAGGGGGGUAGAAUUCCACGUGUAGCAGUGAAAUGCGUAGAGAUGUGGAGGAACACCGGUGGCGAAGGCAGCCCCCUGGGUCAAGAUUGACGCUCAUGCACGAAAGCGUGGGGAGCAAACAGG